rnacentral:tRNA from 1 species
CUGGGGAUACAGCUCAGUUGGUAGAGUGGUUGCCUCACAUGCACAAGGCCCUGGGUUCAAUCUCCCCAGCACCCAAA